ensembl:lncRNA
UUUUUUGAAAGUUUGCACACUUUGGUGUUUGUUCUUGUUCUUGCAGGAAAAAAACACUGCAACCUUAGGAGACAUGUCAAUCCACAGAGCAGAUGAUUGCUCUGCAGAAGUGCUUGGAGUGGACAAUGGCAUUUCUCAGACAGAGGGAUCUUCUAUGAUGUACGGACCUGAACUUUGUAAUGUUAAUGAAGAGUUUUAUACAAAACAAGACUACACUCCGUACACUACUGAUUGUGAUGUGGAACAUUUUGAUCCUAUUCACUAUGGUAUUGAUGCUGAUUGGAAUGAUGGCACUUUAUUUGACAAUGACCUUAAUGAUGAUGCAGAAAUUCAAUUUAAGGAAAAUCCUGGUGAUUGUUCACUUUACAAAAAUGCUCCUGUAUCUACUGCAGAAAGCGUUCUCAUUAUACUAGCUUUUGCUAAUAGACACAAAAUUACAGGGAAAGCCCUGAGUGACUUGGUCAAAUUGAUCUCCCUGCAUUGUCCAGUAGAACAUCAAACAGAGUGCCUGGGAAAUCUAAAAAAAAUCAAACAAAUCUUUGAUAAUGCAGGUCCCUCAUUUAUUGUGCACAAAUAUUGCAACGGUUGUUACAUGUCAGUAGAGAGCGAUAACGGCCAGUGUCAGGUCUGUGAAGCAGAGGUAUCAACUUCAUAUUUCAUUGAAGUUCCAAUUGAAUCUCAAAUUAAGGCAUUGUUCGCAAAAAAAGGUUUUGAGGAAAAGUUAAAAUUUAGAUUCAUUAGACAAAAAAAGGGCCAGUGCAAUGUAGAGGAUAUAUAUGAUGGACAAGUAUAUCAGAAGUUUUUGGCAGGUGGUGGGUUACUUAGUGAUUCCCACAAUAUUUCCUUACUCUGGAACACAGAUGGCAUUCCUGUUUUCAAGUCCUCUAAAUUCUCAGUGUGGCCUUUUUAUUGUAUCAUAAAUGAACUAAAUUUUGUUGAGCGUACAAACAGAGAAAACAUGAUUCUUGCAGGUCUUUGGUUUGGUGAGUCAAAACCAUCUAUGCUGACUUUCCUUAAACCGCUGUGUGACACUCUUAAUAAUAUACAAAGAGAUGGAGUCCUUGUUAAAUUUUAUGAAUCAGAUAGUCCCUUUAUUUGCAGAGUAUUAACCAUUGCAGGUACUUGUGAUUUACCCGCAAAAGCUUUAGUGUUAAAUACUAUUCAGUACAAUGGACAUUUUGGAUGUUUAAAAUGUGAACAGCCUGGCAAGACAAUUAAAACAGGAGAAAGGGGACAUGUGCAUACUUUCCCCUUUCAAACUGAAGAUCCAAAGGGUCCUGCACGUACUCAUACGAGAUUUGUGGAAGAUGCCAAGUUGUCAUUUGAUUCAGAAACCAUAGUGCGUGGAGUUAAGGGUCCCACAUACCUCAGCACAGUAAAUAGCUUUGAUUUGAUCUUAGGCACAG